UAAAUGACAGCAACACACUUGUGUUCAUUGUGGACGUCAAGGCCAACAAACACCAGAUCCAAGAAGCUCUAUAACAUUGACGUGGCCAAGGUCAAUGUUCUGAUCAGGCCUGAUGAAGAAAAGAAAGCAUAUGUUUGACUGGUUCCUGACUAUGAUGCUUUGGAUGCUGCCAACAAAAUUGGGAUCAUGUAAAAAUAACAAGUUUUGGGGACCAUGAUUUUGGCAGUAAUGGUCAGGCAGCAGCCAAGGCCACGGCUCCUCUAGCUCCUGCUGGAUCAACUUCUUCAGCUUCUCUAGAUCCCAGGUCAGAGUGUGUGGAUGUCUUGUCUACCUCUUUCUUCCACUACAUGGAAGCAUGGGAAGGAAAGUUUGACGGAGAGAAAGCCUGUGGGCAACACCUUUUGCAGCUGCUGUGUGGCUUAAGAAGACCUUGCAGCUCACAGAAUCCCUUGGUAUAAGAAGAUGGUCCUGUUGCUGUCUCGUACAAGAGGCUGUGUCUGGACAGAGGACAGAUUUGCGUUUCCAGCUGCCCACUUGACCACUAUACUUGGAUCUUCAAUAGUCAUCUUAAACUUAAGAUCACCAAAACCCCCUCAAUUUCUGCCCAAACAUGCUCCUUCUCCAGUGUUUUCCAUCUCAGUAAAUGACACCAGUAAUGUCUGCUCAGGAAAAAUAUUUGGAAUUCGUCACUGCUUUGCUUCAUAUCCUCACAUCCUACUCAUCAGUAAAUCCUGAAGAAGAAUCUUUUUUUCCCAGAGAAGGAAGCAGACUGAGGUAUGGAUAAGCACCACCCACGAUGAAAGCAUCAAUGAAGAUACUGCUUUGGAGGGAUUUAGAUUGUAGAGAAGAAAAGAGGUUUUGAGAGCUCAUUACUGGAUCAUUGAACUGAUGUGCUGUGACCAGGUCAAGAAGCAGAUACAUCAGUGUUUAGAGGAGAGUCCACUGGUCAGGCCUGUAUUGGGUACAAAUCACCAGCAAGACUUAGCCACAGUCUGGAAUCCAGCAGCGGGAGGAGAAAAUGACAGACUCUGGGCAAGACUCAGCCAGCAAGGAAAAGGAAGUCAUGGGAGUCUCCAGGAUGUUGUGCUCAGCCUGGCCCAGUUUUGCCCACCUCCCUUUGACUAAAAAGGAGAAAGAACACUGCCAAUUUGGAUCCAUAUUGUGACCUACAUGAACAUGCUUUACUUUGAAGCCAGUUUCAUUGGCACCUAAGUCAUUAGCUGUGAUGAUUGGCUUCUAAAUUAAAGGCAGCUCUCUCAGUGGUAGAACUUCCUAA